rnacentral:lncRNA from 1 species
UUCGGUUUCGGUAAUAACCGUUUGCUUUCGGUUUGGUUUCGGUAAUAACCAAAAUAACCAAAGUUAACGUGAAUUUUUAAUCAACACAUGGUUUGGCCACAUGGAAAAACAAAUUUAGUACUUGUCCAAUACAACCUCGUUACCUACUUGAAGAAAUUCUGAAACAUUAGGAAUUUAUGUUCCAGUACAACAAUCUAGUAGAAGACUACAAGUACAACUACAAGCACUAAUUUAGUACAUGUCUAGUCAAACCACAUGAAGAAAUUCUGGAACAAAAACUUGUCCAAUACAAGCACAAGCAGAACUGCUCAACACAAAUUCUGGAAUAAAAACUUGUUCAGUUAGCAUGAUUCGAAUCAUCAUUCUGAACUGUGAAGUGUGUCCAUGCCUUUGAACUUUUGUUCUUUUUCUUGCUAACACGGUCAGGAGUAACAUCAGGAUUUGUUUCAGGUAAGUAAGCUUGACCAGCACCAAGGUUGGCACUUUCGAACACCUGAAAAAUUAAGUCGGGUAAUUUCCAUUUAGAUCAGUGACCAGCAGCAGAACCAACACUAGAAAUUACUGGAAACCUAAAUAGGGAACAUAUGUGAUUUGUCCAUGGUAAUCUGAAUGAAACUUUUUUUGCUAUGACAACAAUUCAUCAUGCUUUGUGGAUGCCUGAGUCCUACUCCCUCCGUUCCAAAUUACUCGUCACAGAAAUGGAUGUAUCUAGAACUAAAAUACAUCUAGAUACAUCUAUACAUGCGACAAGUAAUUCAGAACGGAGGGAGUAUUUGAUAUGGUUUGUAUGGAAUGCAAUCUAGUUCCUUUUGCUACUUGCCACUGCCUGUGAUUUGUUGAUGUUAGUCUGGCGAAUGAAUGGUAUUGUAUUAGUCUGACGAAUGUUUCACAUGUUCAGCAGUUUGAUUCUUUUGCCCUGAGUGUUUGUUUGCAACUAGCCAACUACCAAACCGGAAAGCUCCAGAUCGAACCCAAGAUGAAAGAAGGAAGUGGCGUACUGCUUACCCUUGUGCGUCGGCGGCGGCUUCUGUCUUGCUCCACGGAGGCGUGCGCCGGUGCGCUCAACGGCGCGAGGGAGGGAAGAGGGCGGAGGUCGGAGGUCAGCGACGGAGGGCGGAAGCCUGCGGGGAGCGACGGAGCAGAUGGAUGCGCGCGGAAGUCUGACCUAGAGCGCCGCCGCCAUCCUUUGUUCUCCGCCUCCCUCCGUCCACUCUGCUCUGCGUGUGCGUGCGCGAGGGUGGGUGAGGCCGUGAGGCCGUG